UACGUAGGGACCAAGCGUUGUCCGGAAUCAUUGGGCGUAAAGAGCGUGUAGGCGGCUUGUUAAGUCUUGCGUGAAAUCUCGGGGCUCAACCCCGAGCGGUCGUGAGAAACUGGCAGGCUAGAGUGCGGGAGAGGAGAGUGGAAUUCCUGGUGUAGCGGUGAAAUGCGCAGAUAUCAGGAAGAACACCGAUGGCGGAGGCAGGUCUCUGGGCCACUACUGACGCUGAGAAGCGAAAGCAUGGGGAGCGAACAGG
rnacentral:rRNA from 1 species